rnacentral:rRNA from 1 species
UACGGAGGGUGCGAGCGUUGUCCGGAAUCAUUGGGCGUAAAGGGCGCGUAGGUGGCCCGGUCAGUUCGUGGUGAAAGCGCGGGGCUCAACCCUGCGUCGGCCAUGAAUACUGCCGCGGCUGGAGCACUGUAGAGGCAGGCGGAAUUCCGGGGUGUAGCGGUGGAAUGCGUAGAGAUCCGGAAGAACACCGGUGGCGAAGGCGGCCUGCUGGGCAGUUGCUGACACUGAGGCGCGACAGCGUGGGGGAGCAAACAGG